AACGGUUAAAUAUUAAUGAGUAAAAUUUGUAAAAAUAUUGAUUUAUUAAAUUGUCGAUAAUAAACAUUUUGACAGAAGCGCGCAAAGCGCGUUUGAUUUUCUAGUAUUAAUAAAUUUUUUAUUAAAUACGAGUUAUUAAAUGU